AUCACUAUGGCCCCAGGUAUGGUCAUGCGGGACUAUGUUGUUGUUGAGGUCACGGCUCACCAAGCCUAUAAUCCCUACCGGCGAUGUGAGUCGUAGCCCGGAGUAGGUGACUGAGACAAGGCCCCUAGCCCUACGGGGUGCAGCAGGCGCGAAACCAUCCGCAAUGCGCGAAAGCGUGACAAGGUGACUCCGAGUGCUCAUGCUUACGCAUGAGCUUUUCCCGAGUGUAAACAGCUCGGGGAAUAAGGGCCGGGCAAUACUCGUGCCAGCCGCCGCGGUAACACGAGAGGCCCUAGCGGUACCCGCGAUUACUGGGCUUAGAGCGUCCGUAGCCGGUCCAGUAAGUCCUUGGUGAAAGCCCUCGGCUUAACCGGGGGAAGGGCCAAGGAUACUACUGGUCUAGGGAACGGGAAAGGCGAGGGGUACUCCAGGGGUAGCGGUAAAAUGUGUUGAUCCUUGGGGGACCACCGGUAGCGAAGGCGCCUCGCUGGAACGCGUCCGACGGUGAGGGACGAAGGCCAGGGGAGCGACCCGGAUUAGAUACCCGGUUAGUCCUGGCUGUAAAUGAUGCGGACUAGGUGUCUGGUAACCCACGAGGUUAUCAGGUCGUGCGGUUUCAAUUUGGAUACAUCGUCAUACACCUCACCAGGGCCAACGGCAGGAUGAAGGUCAGUGUGAUGCGCUUACUAGACAAGCCGCACGGUGGUGCAUGGCCAUCGUCAGCUCGUGCUGUGAAGUGUCCUGUUAAGUCAGGCUACGAGCGCACGACCCACGCCCUUAGUUGCUAUCCUGGUCACCGUGAUCGGGAGCACUACUAAAGGCGACUGCCGCUGACAAGGCGGAGGAAGGAGUGGGCGACGGUAGGUCAGUAUGCCCCUAAUGUCCUGGGCUACACGCGGCUCUACAUUGCCGGGCACAAUGGGAUGCGACCCUGAAAAGGGAAGCUAAUCUCAUAAAACCCGGCUCGGGUCAGAUCGAGGGCUGAAACUCGCCCUCGCGAAGGUGGAAUCCCUAGUAAUCGCAGGUCAUUAUCCUGCGGUGAAUACGUCCCUGUCUCUUGCACACACCGCCCGUCAAGCCACUCAAGCGGGGCUCGGACGAGGCGUGAUCCGCUUGGAUCUUCGGAUUCACACGGGUUGCGUCGAAUCUGG
rnacentral:rRNA from 1 species